GAUGAACGCUGGCGGCGUGCCUAAUACAUGCAAGUCGAGCGAACGGACGAGAAGCUUGCUUCUCUGAUGUUAGCGGCGGACGGGUGAGUAACACGUGGAUAACCUACCUAUAAGACUGGGAUAACUUCGGGAAACCGGAGCUAAUACCGGAUAAUAUUUUGAACCGCAUGGUUCAAAAGUGAAAGACGGUCUUGCUGUCACUUAUAGAUGGAUCCGCGCUGCAUUAGCUAGUUGGUAAGGUAACGGCUUACCAAGGCAACGAUGCAUAGCCGACCUGAGAGGGCGAUCGGCCACACUGGAACUGAGACACGGUCCAGACUCCUACGGGAGGCAGCAGUAGGGAAUCUUCCGCAAUGGGCGAAAGCCUGACGGAGCAACGCCGCGUGAGUGAUGAAGGUCUUCGGAUCGUAAAACUCUGUUAUUAGGGAAGAACAUAUGUGUAAGUAACUGUGCACAUCUUGACGGUACCUAAUCAGAAAGCCACGGCUAACUACGUG
rnacentral:rRNA from 1 species